AUAAAUAUAUACGGAUUUACAUAUAAGUAAUGCAUCUCAUGAAUACUCAUAAAACAAAAGGCCCAUGGACCACAAGGCUCAUCUGAUCAACCUUCCUCACACAAAAAUGAGACCUCUAUUGUUGGAAUAUUAACAGAGGCCCAGCGACAACCCCAGUGCUGCCAUAGGACUUUAUAUAUAGUUAAGUACAUGUCUCAGAUCAUUUGUAUAUCAUUUUGACAAACUUUAAAUCUGUCGCUCUCGAAAUUUUUUUAAAAGAUCCCAUCCAUUAUUUUUAGAUUACUAUUGUAGGUCACUCUGAUGCUCAGGACCAUAAAUGAAUUUAAUACAAAUAUGUGCACCUUUUGUUCUCCAGAUGCGUCAGCAUUACUUAUCGGGAGCUGGACACAAGAUAUGGCAGCAACCCUUAUUUUCAGAGAAGCUAUUAUUUGAAGGUUUUAAAAGCCCUUUAUCAUAGGAUCUCCAUGUAGAGAAUUGAACAGAAUCUCCAGGUACAGAUCUCAAUAGGAUCUCCAGGUACAUAUCUCAAUAGGAUCUCCAGGUAUAGAACUGAACAGGAUCUCCAGGUACAGAACUCAAUAGGGUCUCCAGGUACAUAUUUCAAUAGUUUAGCUGAUUUUGUUGAAGCCAGAAAAGAUCACAGUCACCAUGUCUCUCAUCUUUCUCAGAGGUAAUACCUAGGUAUAUCCAAGGCCAGCUGCAAGUGUGGACAAUCUUCACAACCCUGAUGAGAUUGAUGAUUCUCAAUUCCUACGUUUCCACCAGAAAGGACUACACUCUGUUCACUUAAGAAAUGUACCAAGGGAUCUGAAAAUAGCUAUAAGAAAAACAAUACAUUUUAUAUUGGGAAUUACAGACCACUUAAAGAAGCAGAUAAUCAACAUACAUGUCUACUAUAUUUGUUUGGCUAUAUCUGAUCAAAUACUGUAAAAGGAUUGUUCACUGGGACGGUUAUGCCGGAUCAUCUUCAAAUGGCAUUUGAUCCAGUAGAUCAUGUUAUGUUGUGCAAUAAGCUAAAAGAUAUCAAUUUUACUGAAGAGUCAGUGGAAUGGUAUAGAUCUUGCCUAUCUGACAGAAAGCAGUAUAUGUUAAGGUAUUCAAUGCAUAAAGAUAUGAAAUUAAACAAUUUCGAAUGAUUUAAAUCAAAAUAGAUAUUUAUUGUUAGAUAAUGAUAAAAGUGAAUUGGAUCAAAUUCACAUGGCUGGUCAAUGAUUUAGCACUUGUGACUUUUUGAAAGAGUUAUCUGCCUUGAGUAAAAACAAGAAAAAUUUAAUUUAAAUAUAUGUGCAGUAUUGAUUGAUUGAUUUUUGCUGUUUUCCAACAAUUUUUCAGUUAUCUGGUGGCGCCCAGUUUUUAUUGGUGGAAGAGAGAACCCAGAUACAAUGUACCUGGGAAGAGACCACCGACCUUCUGAAAGUAAACUGGGAAACUUUCUCACUUACCGCCGCAAGUGGGAAUCAAACCAAAUGAUUUUUUUCUCUCUCAUAUUUUCAUAAACAGAAAGUGUUUGUAACUUUUUAGUGAGAGAUCUGUAUGAAAAUAUGAAUUUCUUUUAAAGAUACAUGUAUUUAAAAAAAACAGGCUCCACCCAUGGACUUCAAUGUAAAAUUCUAGGUGAAAUAAAACAAGCAGUAAUCAAAAUUUUGUUAAUUCCUUUUGUAGAUUAUUUCAUUUCUUUAAAAUGAUACCAUGAUCACAAAAAUCCCAACAAAUCCCUUUACAAAUAUGAAAUAUGAUCAUUAUACAUUGAAUACCUUAAAAAUAUUUAGUUCCCCAAGGUAACAUUUCAGGUUCUGGGAUCAACAUUAACUUUCAAUCUCACUUGACAAGUGAACUCAAACUUUCACUUGUCCGAAUGAAAAACUUGGUUGUCAAAAAUUUUUCUGAACUCAAUUUAAGUUUUAAAUUCAAUUUAUCGAUAAUACACAUGUCAAAUAUCAAAACCUGUACUGCUGCCAUCAGUUCAGCAAAAUCUGCGACCGGUUAGAAAAGACAAAGUGCCAGCAAUAGCGCUGUCAGCGUGAAUUAAACCCAUAAGUUUUUUAUGUUUAACAUUUAUUACGAUUAACACAAGUAAGAUAAUCAUGUCCUGAAAUAAUACUUGCCCGUGUGUGAUCUGAGUUUCACUUGUCCAAACUUAGUUUUCACUUGCCCCAGGUGAUCAGACAACUGUUGAAGUUUAUCCCUGAAGCCCUCUACUUAUUUUUAAUUCAAAUGUAAAUGAUAUGAUAGUGAGCGUGGAGCUGAAAUGUAAACUCAUUCUGUUAACAUCUGCUUCCAUUCCGGGUCAUAAUAAUGAAGCCAGGUCUCAUCAGCAGUUAUCAUUCUGUCGAGAAAUAUCCAUCUUUCUCUCUUCCAUCACUGAAACAAUAGUGUCAAUUCACUUAAUUGGAUGACAGCCUUGGUACCAUGCGAGUGUUAAAAUUCAAUUCCUUGUGAACUAUGUUGAAAAUUAAUCUGUAUGAGAUAUUGAGGUCAGUACUAAGCUGACACAAUGAGAUGCAUCUAUUGACAUCAAUUUUCUCCCUCACAAGAGAGAUGUACUUUUCACCGUCACAUAUUUCACCAACCCAAGUGUGGAUCAUCUUUCCUGGUCUUCUGUCUGCUUAUGUCAUUUGAACAGGAAAUACCUGGACAUAGUUUUUUCCUCCGUUUAAUUUAACAUAUCUAAGGUUUCUGUUGGCGAUUUCCCCCAAGUUUCACCCAAAACUGAAUAAUACUCCAGGAAUAUACUUUAUUCUCUGGCAUCAUUUUCCCACUCAAAAAUUUCAAACACCACCAAGAUAAAUUACCGUAAAAUCGCUAAGAAUGCCAACAAUAACAUCAGACUUUGAGAAAUUCUGACAUUGUAAGUAUUCUUUUCCUGGAGAUUUUUGUGCAAAGGAGUUUCUUUACUUUAGGAAUACCUAACUUAAUUCGAAGUUGUACCGGACAUGCAAAUCACAGAUAUUACACUUGUCGAUACUUUUAUUAUCAAUAACCAUUUAAAGUCAGUAAUUGACAGUAAUGUGUAUAAUAGCCUGAUUAGGGAGCACAGGCAUUUAUUUCUGUAAAUAAGUUAUGAUGUCUGUAUACAUACAUGUAUGAUAACUGUUAUUAUUAGUAUACAGACAUCAUAACUUAUUUUCAGAAACAAGUGCCUGCAUUAGGAAGUGUCUAUUACUAAACUUUAAUAGAAAUUUCUAUCCUGCAUAAUUUUACUGCAUCAGCCAUUGAACAUUUUGAUCACUUCUUGGCGCAUCUUCAAGAGAUACCAUGUCUGUCAUUGGAUUUUAUUGUUCCUCACAUCCUGCCAUUCAUAAUGGGAUUAAAGACUGGAAUUUAUUGCCAGGAAACCAUUUAAAGAAUAAAACUGUUUUCAAGAAAUCUAUAAAAAAAAAAACCACUUUAUGACAAAGGUCUUUUAUCACAAUUCACCUUUGAAUUAGAACGCUUUACCCGAUAUAGUAUUGCGUUGUGUGACAACACAAUUGAAUGAGACGAUUGAACAGUUUGAAUGACAUGUUUGAUGUAAUACAACAAGAGUUUUCAUUGGCCGAUUACAGCCCGCCCACUUUCUCGAGCUGAUUCAGGUGACACGGUGAUUUAAUCAGAUAAGAUGGACGGACUAGAAAAUUACUCGCUGAGAACUGUAGCUCUCUGAAAAAAUAUUGUGACGGAACUGAGAGCUACAGAUCCAUCUCUUAUAAAUACCUUCGAUUUAUGGGACACAAAAAACUGCGCACGGUUGAGGCCUGACAUCACGUUAUCGGUGUAUUCUUGUGUUGCUGUCUCAUAAAUUCAAUAUAAAAAUAUCUUAACAUAUUUUCCAACUAUACUUGUGUCCAAACAUACCUUCAAAUAUUCAUUAAAGCCACAAAUGACCUGAAAACUCGCAGCUUCAAAUGAUUUCGUUUGUUGACGUAGCCAUGUUAGGUAGCCGGUCAAUUCGAACUCUGUUGCUAUUGGUAUCUAUUCAUAAAAUUGGUUGUAAGUUAUGUAUUCGCUCUUCAUUAAUUAUCAACACGAAUAAUUAAUAGAAAUUAAAAGAUAUAGUUUUUGUAAAGGUAAAAUAAGCUCUUGAUUAACGAAAAUGCUACAUAAGCCCAUUAUGGUCCUUAACACUCAUGUGGCAGAGAUGGAGACCGGCCCAGACUAAUGAAAGCCGCAUUGCCGUGAGUUUAGCUAUUUGAAUAAUUAUCAUUUAAUGGAACUGGGAUGAUAUAUUAUUUAAAAUACUUAGCUAAAAUAUUUGUGGGGUAUUAGUUCACAUCUAGACGCUAUUGUGCCAGUAUGGAAAUGAACCGGGAUUCGAAUUGACUGGCUACCUUACAUGGCUACGUCAACGAACGAAAUCAUCAAAAGCUGUGUUUUUGGGUCGUAUGGGGCUUAAAUAUAUAUUUGAAGGUAUGUUUGGACACAAGUAUAGUAGGAAAAUAUGUUAGGAAUUUUUUGAUAUUAAAUUUAUGAGACAACAACAGAAGAAUACAACUUUUUCUCUUUCUUCUUUGAAGUUUGUUUCCAUCUGGUCGUCAUGUUUUCAAAUGCCGUAAAAGGGAAUUUGGGCGGACUUAUACAUAUGGACCAAUGAGAGUUUCUGUUGCAUUUCGCAAUUGUAUUACAAACAGAUUCAAUUGUGUCGUCACACAACGCAAUACUAUAUCGGCCAAAGCAUUCUAAUUCAAAGAUGAAUUGCGAUAAAUCAACAUUGUGACUUUUAAAUUUUCAUUUCAUUUGGUAUAAUGUCUAAUUAAAAUUUUGUUAUUAAUCUAUAUUCCCCCCAAUUGAUAUUAGGGUGUAGUGCUCACUUUUGUGACAUUUUAUAUAGUUUUCAUAUUCUAAGUUUAUCUGCCAUUCCUGUAUGUUUCAAUGUAUGUUUUAUGCAAUUGGUUUUUUUUAAUUACAUGAAUCUAUAUAUAAUACUCAAUACAUCAAAAGGACACCAUUGGAAAAAAGGCUUUUUGGGCUUUCAUGAGCUCUCCUGUAAUACUAAAUUAAUGCAUCGUAUAUUUCAAAUUGUAUACUGUAUAAAUCUAUCAAAAUCAAUCUGUCUAUAAAACAGCAAGUCAGCAAGGCCCAAGCAGCAUUCACCAUGCUCAAGAACAUCUUGCCCUUGAAGGAAAUCCCCAUGACCACCAAACUGCAGAUCCUCAGCUCCAAUAUUAAGUUCAUUUUACUAUACAGAGUGGAGACAUAGAGAAUGACUACAGCAACCCCACAGAAGAUUCAGACAUUCCACAACACCAUUCUCAGGCGCGUCUUAACAUCCAAUGGCCUGAGAGGAUCACAAACGAGGAAGUGUGGAGAAGAGCAGGACAGGAGCCGAUGGACUUACAAAUCAAACGGAGGAAGUGGCACUGGAUUGGACACCAUCCAGCACCACACACCAAGUCCCGACUUUGAACCUGUAGAAAAAGAGAAUGUGGAGGCGACCCAUAAACACCUGGAGGAGAGAUACUGAGACAGAAUUGAAGGCGUGUGACAUCACCUGGCAAGGUGCGGCUAAAGCAGCCCAGAACCGUGUUCACUAGAGGACUGUGUUCCUCACGGAAUGACAGACCUAAGUAAAGUAAGAAUGAAAUAGCAUAUGGUUACCUUGUUGCUGCUAAAAAAGAUUUUAAACGAUUUUUAUUUAAACUCUUCUCUUUGUGACCCCCACUCUUUGCCAAAAUUAAACAGUAUGUAUUUUCUACCCUCAAUUGUUCCUGAAGUAGACAUAUUCUGAAAACGAAGAAAGGUAAGGUAUUCAUAAUUUUGAAAAACCUUGAUGAUAUAACGUUAAAAACGUCACACAUUAUCUGCACCACAAUACAUAUAAUGGUAUAUUGCCAUGUCUCAAGCAGCUCUGCUAUCAUAAACAGAAAAGGCACGACAGCUGAAAGGUAUCUGAAACAUGGACCCCAACCUGCAUUAUUUGCAUAAGACCGAUUCAGUUAAACAUUAUGUCAGUUACUUAACAUUUACCCCUGCUUUAAAUCCCUGGCAAAAGCAUCAAGCUUUUCGUUCAAUUCAUCCGCUUUUUCAGUGUCUCCACCAGGCUGAGUAGGCAUGCUGUCGAGUCUGUUUUGAUGCCGCAACACCGGAAGU